rnacentral:rRNA from 1 species
AGCCUGAUGCAGCCAUGCCGCGUGUAUGAAGAAGGCCUUCGGGUUGUAAAGUACCAGCAGUGAGGAAGGUAGUAGUGUUAAUAGCGCUAUUAUUUGACGUUAGCUGCAGAAGAAGCACCGGCUAACUCCGUGCCAGCAGCCGCGGUAAUACGGAGGGUGCGAGCGUUAAUCGGAAUUACUGGGCGUAAAGCGCAUGCAGGUGGAUGAUUAAGUCAGAUGUGAAAGCCCGGGGCUCAACCUCGGAAUAGCAUUUGAAACUGGUCAUCUAGAGUACUGUAGAGGGGGGUAGAAUUUCAGGUGUAGCGGUGAAAUGCGUAGAGAUCUGAAGGAAUACCGGUGGCGAAGGCGGCCCCCUGGACAGAUAUGACACUCAGAUGCGAAAGCGUGGGGAGCAAACAGGAUUAGAUACCCUGGUAGUCCACGCCGUAAACGAUGUCUACUUGAGGUUUGGCCUUGA